rnacentral:rRNA from 1 species
GACGAACGCUGGCGGCGUGCUUAACACAUGCAAGUCGAACGGAAAGGCCCUGCUUUUGUGGGGUGCUCGAGUGGCGAAAGGGUGAGUAACACGUGAGUAACCUGCCCUUGACUUUGGGAUAACUUCAGGAAACUGGGGCUAAUAUCGGAUAGGAGCUCCUGCGGCAUGGUGGGGGUUGGAAAGUUUCGGCGGUUGGGGAUGGACUCGCGGCUUAUCAGCUUGUUGGUGGGGUAGUGGCUUACCAAGGCUUUGACGGGUAGCCGGCCUGAGAGGGUGACAGGCCACAUUGGGACUGAGAUACGGCCCAGACUCCUACGGGAGGCAGCAGUGGGGAAUAUUGCGCAAUGGGCGGAAGCCUGAUGCAGCAACGCCGCGUGCGGGAUGACGGCCGUCGGGUUGUAAACCGCUUUCGCCUGUGACGAAGCGUGAGUGACGGUAAUGGGUAAAGAAGCACCGGCUAACUACGUG